AUUGAACGCUGGCGGCAUGCUCUACACAUGCAAGUCGAACGGUAACAGGCCGCAAGGUGCUGACGAGUGGCGAACGGGUGAGUAAUGCAUCGGAACGUGCCCAGUCGUGGGGGAUAACUACUCGAAAGAGUAGCUAAUACCGCAUACGAUCUAUGGAUGAAAGCGGGGACCGUAAGGCCUCGCGCGAUUGGAGCGGCCGAUGUCAGAUUAGGUAGUUGGUGGGGUAAAGGCUCACCAAGCCAACGAUCUGUAGCUGGUCUGAGAGGACGACCAGCCACACUAGGACUGAGACACGGCCCAGACUCCUACGGGAGGCAGCAGUGGGGAAUUUUGGACAAUGGGCGCAAGCCUGAUCCAGCAAUGCCGCGUGCAGGAAGAAGGCCUUCGGGUUGUAAACUGCUUUUGUACGGAACGAAACGGCUCUGGUUAAUACCCGGGGCUAAUGACGGUACCGUAAGAAUAAGCACCGGCUAACUACGUG
rnacentral:rRNA from 1 species